GGGCCCGCACAAGCGGUGGAGUAUGUGGUUUAAUUCGAUGCAACGCGAAGAACCUUACCAGGGUUUGACAUCCUGCGAAUCUCUUGGAAACAGGAGAGUGCCUUCGGGAACGCAGUGACAGGUGGUGCAUGGCUGUCGUCAGCUCGUGUCGUGAGAUGUUGGGUUAAGUCCCGCAACGAGCGCAACCCACGUCUUUAGUUGCCAGCAUUUAGUUGGGCACUCUAGAGAGACUGCCGGUGAUAAACCGGAGAAGGUGUGGAUGACGUCAAGUCAUCAUGGCCCUUACGUGUAGGGCUACACACGUGCUACAAUGGCAUUUACAGAGGGAAGCGAGACAGUGAUGUGGAGCGGACCCCUUAAAGAAUGUCGU
rnacentral:rRNA from 1 species